CAUUCUUCCGUGCUCUGAUGAUAGACACACAUUUAGGGUGGUGUAGGCCUAACCCGUUGUUAUAACCAAGUUACCUUAUAGAUUUAAGGGAGAAGGAAAAACCAUAUAUAUCAAAAGCACCCUUACUAACUACAGCUAUUGACAUCGAUCAAGCCUAAAAUAAACCAACAAAAUGCCGGGUAUGAAAAUGCCGAAAGAAAACUCCGACAAAAUACGGAGGAAGAUCGAAUACAUAUACAGUAAUCUGGUCAACUGUGAUGAUCUUGUUGAUUAUCUGUUCUCUGAAGACGUUCUUGACUAUGAUCAAAAGGCUGACAUAGAAGAACAAAGAAGGGGUAAACCAAGAGUGAAGAAACUGAUAAGCAUUCUCAUGACCGAAUGUGGUGAUUGUUAUGAUACGUUUUUGAAAGGCCUGAGACAGAAGAAGCUCGAGGAAAUGGCUGAUGUAAUAGAUUCAGGACCGGAACCAAAGGACGUCAAAAUAGAACGACCAAUUACACGAUCGCAACGAGGAAAAGUAGAAAAGGGUGCGAUGGAAGAAGACCAUUUAGAGAUAUGGAAUAGCGAGCAAGAUUUCCUGGUGACAGAAUUCAAAAACCACAUCGGGGACCUAAUGAUGAAGUUGUUCACCAAAAUGAUCAUAGAUUCCGACGACAAAGAGAAAAUUAGACGAGAAAUAAAAGAAAACUUUAAUGUAGGCGGUGCUACCAAGCUCCAUGAGAUUUUAAGCGAUCGCGGUGAACAAGUACUGCCCAGGAUCCUUGACGCACUUAGACCUGUUUACAGAAAGGUAGCCAACAGACUUGAAGAUAGAUUGGCUGAACUGAAAUUGGAGAAAUUAAAUGACGGACGAUUUCCAGUACAGGAGGAGGGGUACUCAUAUUAAGCUGAAGCCUUGAAAAUUUAAUCUGAUUUAUCAUCGUAAAAAUAUUUUACAUUAUUUUAUAAAUAAAAAUAGUAUUGAAAGUAAUGAAGUAUGUUGCAAGUUUUUAAAUAGAAACUUUUUUUUUCAAAAAUGUAUAGCGAACUAUUAUUAAUAAUAAUAAUAAUAGUGAGUUCUUAUAUUGAGCACAGACUCAUCAAACUAAAUGCCCAAGAAAACAUAUUAUAGUAGAACUGAAAUUACCCCAUUGUCUUAUUAGUAAGUUUGUUUUGCUUUUGGAAUACUAAUUACAUAUUUUAAUAUUUUCUAUUACUAUUACUAUUACUAUUUAGCCUUGUUUACUUAAUAGAUUAUUAUAAAACAUCACAACAUCAUUUUGUCUUUAUACCCGAAACAGGUUUGUUUUAAUAUUUAACAUUUAUUUGAAUCCAUUUAAGCAAAAACAUUAUGUGACGUACUAAAAAAGUGAACGAUAUAAAACUGUGUUGACAACUAUUAGGUGAAUAUCUCUUUCUCUUACCCCGUUGGGUUAUAGUUGUGUUAACCUCUAAUUCUAAUAAAUGUUAAAUCUUAAAUUGAGUGAAUUUAACAAGUUCGAUGCUUCCCUGUGCUUUUGCGUCGUGUUCGAUGCAAUGUAAUCAGAUGGAUUUUCUGAAAUGGCAUUCUUAAAGAUACAUUAUGGGAGAUAAGAUAAAGAGAUGGCAGUUCUCGCUAUAAUAGUUAAAAACUAGAAAGUGUAAAGGUAAUUUGCUGAAAAUUUCAGUCAAAUUGAUCCACUAUGAGCCGAGAAAGAAGCGGGUGAAAUUUUUGCAUAUUCUCGGUCAUCAUUACUAAAAUCAUUAAUAUAAACAGCAUAGUCUCGAUUAUCCACUUUUUCUGAUUUAAUGAUCAACGGCCGUUAGCGGCAUAUAGGAAUCUAAUCCAGCCAACAUCGAAGGCUAGCCUUGACAUCGAGAGUUUAUUAUGGUCUGGAUAAGUUAAUUAAUGUCUAAUUGAUAAUUUAGAUAACAUUUCAGGCCUAAAGAAAGACUUGUAAUAAGCAGAUUUUGCACUUGCAUAAUGCAUGUUUAAAUUAAUUUCUUGGGCGUCAACAUUUUGUUUAAUGACUAGUUGCGUCCCUUAGACUUAGUGAUAAUGUAAAAGAUCGGAUAAUCUAGCCAACGACAUAUUAUUUUCAAAUGUUGACAAUGUAUCCAGAUUAAUAUUAGUGAGAGAGAGAGAGAGAAAUGGGGUUUAACGUGCACUCGACACAAACUAGGUCAUUUCGGGACUAACAUAUGGUUUAAUUUUAUUUCAAUAAUUCGCCUGUGCAUUGGGGUCUUUAGCAGUGGGAGGAAACCGGAGGAUUAAUAUUAGUAGAAUAUAUUUCUGGAUGAUAGAGAAUAAACAUACUACACCUCUUGGUAAAGCUGUAUAUAAUUUCUAAAUCCAUUGCUUUUCAUCGUAUCUAUAAAAUAGUUCAAGAUGCAUAUGAAUAAAUUCAUAUUGUGAAGUUCUAGAACACAAAUAGCUUAAUAAUUUGCAUAAUUUAUUUGUUUUCAACUCUUAAAUUAUUUCUUUAAAAUAGAGUGUAUUAAUCAAAUGAAACAAAAGAUGUCUACCAAUUUAAAGUUGAUGUAAAUAUUCCAUUUCAUUUGCAUUAUUCAUUUUUUAAUGCAUCUAGUUCUGUGUGCUUUUUGUUACAUCCGAUUCUGUGUUCUUUUAAAUAUAUUAAAGAAAUAAAACAUAUUGAUAUGA